rnacentral:rRNA from 1 species
AUACGGAGGGUCCAAGCGUUAUCCGGAUUCAUUGGGUUUAAAGGGUCCGCAGGCGGGGAAAUAAGUCAGUGGUGAAAGCCUACAGCUCAACUGUAGAACUGCCAUUGAUACUGUUUUUCUUGAGUAUAGAUGAAGUGGGCGGAAUAUAUCAUGUAGCGGUGAAAUGCAUAGAUAUGAUAUAGAACACCGAUUGCGAAGGCAGCUCACUAAACUAUUACUGACGCUCAGGGACGAAAGCGUGGGUAGCGAACAGGAUUAGAAACCCCAGUAGUCC